UAUUCUAUUCAUUACAGGAGAAAGUCACUAUCCUCAGUUGCCUUGUCUCUGCAUUUAGCCCCCCUUUUCAGCCCUAGACUAGGUAGAUUCUUUCGAUUCUUCAAUGAAAGCCUUCAUGAAAGCUGCAAUAGGAUAAAGGAUAUCCUCUCUUCUUGCUCUGUCAUCUUAAUGCCUUCAAUUGAAUCGAUUGGUGCCAUUUCUUCUCUUGGAGACAGGGCAAUAGAUUCAUCUUGUCCUUGGCUUGUGAAGGGAAUGAGGUAGGGUAGCCAAAGCCCCCAAUUAAGGGAUAGGGCAAUCCUUCCCAAGUAAUGCAUAAGCAAGAUCAGGACUAGAGGGGUGUGAAGAGUAGGGGAUCUCUUGUGCAAAGCAAAGACAGGUACGUGCUAGCAAAGAAGGGAAGUGGCAAGGGAUUGAAAAGAAGAAGAAAGAAGAGAAAGUUAGUACACAGAGUCUUCCCCUGCCUAAUUGAUCUAAUGAUAAAGAAGUAGGCUAAGUAAAAUAGAAAGUGUGUGUAAACAAUAAGUAAUGACUUGCUUUGUGAGAGCUCAGUUUCUAAGACGAAGGCUAAGAAUUCCCUACUAGAGGGAUUGAAAAGAUCGAGGGUAAUUUCUGAGUCUUUAUGGACCUUUCUUAUUAUAGGCCAAAGGAAUAGCUAAGGACUUCUUCCCUCAUUCUCAUCAAAUUGGGGUAGCUCAGGAACUAUAGAAUCUCUCAUGAGUUGAAUAAACUCUUUUAUGCUAGUGGAAUUGGGAAGCAUGAUAAGUCCGUACUCCACAUUCUAGCUUCAUCCUUGGUUUUCAAAGAAAGGAACCGACAGAAGAUAAAGGUAAGAUAAUUCUUUCUGGCCUUAACUGAGAGCGGGGAGGCCCAGGUCUACAUACAGGUCUUGGAUCAACAGAAUCCUCCAAUUGCUAGGGAAAGAAUAUCGGGAUUAGCCUCCUUGCCAUUGCUACCGUCUUUGAAAGUCUAGCUAUCCUCUCCUUGUCAUGCUUAGUUAUUCUGCAUUGCUCCUUCUUCUUAUCUUGCUUUCUUGCCUUAUAGAAUUGACCUUUGUCCCCUCCUUCCGGUUUUCACACUCACUUAAAGUCCAUUCCUUGCUCUUGCCUAGUUCUAGGCUUAGACGAAAGAGCUCAUUCAUAGAUUCUAUCUUUCUAGCAUUUCAUGUCUUUCUUCCUUCAACUCUAAUUCAUGACAUGAAUUGUUAAGUCCUUCUAUAAUAGCUAUUGCCUCUCUUCUCACCUCCCCUAGAGCUAUUGAAUAAAAAUCUGAGGCUCACUCGCUGCCCUAAGCCCUACAGUUCCUUUGCUUACCGCCUAAGAUGAAUCUAUUGCCUCCCAUCCCUCCACGAGUAGAUAUUUAGUAUUAAAUAGUGUCAAAUCCAAUCCAAGCAAUUAUCAAGAAGAAAAACUCAGGACUAGGAAAGAAAGGCAGAGACAGGGAAAGCUAGGGUGAUAGCACUAUAGAUGAGUAAUAGGAUAGGGAGUACUUCGCUACACUCAUUAGGACAACAAUCUCCUAACUACUAUGAGUUAAGCAACUAAUGGACAGACCAGGCCGCAUAAGACUACUGAAAUAGAAAAAGAGAAGGGAUUCACGGGCAGUGAAGGCAACCAAGGGAGAGGAAUCAUUCCAUUCAAUUCCGAAGCCUAGCGUCUCCUGUAAGACUCUAUCACCUUCAUUCUUUUGUUGAGGUUCUGGCACUUCUUCCUCCGGCCCUUUAUUUACAUAGCGAAGAAAGGCAAAGGCUCUUGCUUGAAUGCGUGACUUAUGUCUCUUUUUCCAUUUAUAAAAAGUAAGAUGAAUCUAGGCUCCUCGGCCUAUAGUAAGUGAAUGAGAGGGUAUGGGGUUCCGGGUCUUUUUCCAUUCAAAAUUGACUAAGAGGCAAUCCCCGUUUUCUGUGAUAAUGUGAAAGGACUCAAUUCCUUCUUUCUUCCCCAGCGAAUGUAGCAGGAACAGCCUUCCCGCAGUCGCAUUAAGGAGAUUUUUUCUUGAAACUCUUUACUCCUUCACCCGUAGCAAGUACUCAUUUCUAUUUAGUUGUUUUCUUACUCUAUCCGGCUAUUGAACCUGGUUUCCCUCUACAUAUGGUAAUAGAGAGUUAGACAGCUUAGAGAGCUCCUCAAAGGGCUAGUUCUCACUCUGUUUUGGGGACCCCCAAGACUGUCUUUCCCUGUGUUUCCUAGUCUAUAUAGGUCCAAUCUCAUCUGCUAGCGCUUCUUCGUUGCUUGGUCAGGACACAUUCAUCGAUUUCUUUUCAUUCUUCCUGGGAUUGCAAGUGACUUACUUCUUUUGGUCGUUCUUGCUGUCUUAAGUCGUCCUCUUUUCUUUAGAAGCUGUUAGUUGAUUUCGUGCCUGCCCUAAGGCUAAGGGGAGAACUGCAUGUCCUACUAGUCGGAAAGAAGCCUACCCACCUACCAGCCUACCUUGUUCAUAUGGAGCCGGACAGGAGAGACCCUCCUUAAAUUGAAUAGAAGCAAUUUCGUUUAUAAGCUUGAAAAUAGCCGCUGUAAAUCAAUUCAUAGAUAGGGGAGUUCUAAACCAGCAGCAAGCCCUUUCUCGCCCUUUCUAAUGUCCUAGGCGAAGGCAGUGCAGGUGAAAGCCCAAUAGAUCCCAUUUUUUUUAUCGCUCCACAUAGCUCACGACCCGGCACGAAGAAAUCUCGUAGACGGGUGGAUGCGAAUCUGGAUCUAUCAACGGAGCAAUUCCAUUCCAGUCGUAGUUUCAAUCCCAUAUCCAAUGAAAGUCUCCGCCGUGUCUGACCCCCUCUUUAUAUCCGGAGUGAGUCAGGCGGCUAAGCCUUUAAUCCUGAUAAAAGAAAGAGUUUUCCCACCCUCCAAGUAUCCAUAAAUGGAAUCGGUUUGAGUGAAUUACUUACCGCAGUCAAAGCCAAUAGGGAAAGUCAGGUCAAGAGAGAGUCUCUUUCCGAUUAGUGCAUCUCGCACUUCUAAUUGAUUCCGAGUUAGAAAAAGUCAGUUCCUUCCCUCCCUUUUACUUUUUCUAAGGUAAAGUCCUCUUAAAUGGAUUACUAGUUCCUUCCUUCCCAAUCAAUGCUAACUCUAUCUUCCUCUCUUGUAAUUUAGGAGAUUUCCCCAGCCCGUAAAGAACCGUAGUUACAUAGAGCUCUCAAAAGAUAAAAAGAGAAAGAGCUAUGAGUUCAAGUAAGAAAGUGAAAGUUCAGUCCUCAUAGUUUCCCUAUCCCACUGCCAAAAAGAAGACAGCAACAAUCUAGCUCCUCGUACUACUUCUCUCAGUAAAUACCAUUCUCUUAGUUAGGUAGUAAGUAGAUAGACGGAUUAGUACUUUUACCCAGGGGUAGCCUUCCUUGUCGCCAAAGAAGAAUGAGAAUUGAUAAAGUUUUCUUAGGGUUUUUCGCUUCAAUAGCAGAAGCAAAGAAGUCAAAUCAAUGCAGCUUUCGUGCCCAGCCUAAAAAGAUCCUAUCCUCUUGCAGCUGGAGCUCUUGAUGGCACGUUCAAGCGAGUUUAUGAAUGAAUGAAAUCAGUUGAAGGAGCGGCCAAGGACGAAAGCUUUGAUUGCGUUCUGCUGUGGUUGGCUUUUUCCUUGCCUAAAACAACUAUCUUCUCUUCGCGAACGGUUAAGAAUCCUCUUUGUAUGCGCGUUAUCUCUUGUUUAUUCUUCUAGUUUUUGCUUCUUAUACUUUGAUGGGUGAGACUCCGUUUCUUCUUAGGUUGUCUGUAAGUGUAGUUCAUGGUUCACGGAUCGUUAGAUCGUUAGCUGGAUAGGUGGGCAAUUCCUAUUGGUGGAGCUAAGACACCUUCGAGAGAUAUAGCUAUAGCUCUUGAUGGCACGGGCAAGACAGUUCAUGAAUGAAUGGCGAGUUUUCUAUUUACUAGAAUAUCUUUCCGGAAGCUUCUUUUUAGAAUUGAUUGCUACCGGUGGUGAAAAAAUUGAAUCAACGGCAUCGAAUGCAAGCUCUGAUAAAGUUUUAUUUUGAUUUAUGGACUACAACGACCUAAAGUAGCUAAAUAAGUAGUGAAAGUAAGCUCCUGGCUAAAAUGAGUCUUGGUUCUACCCACCGGCAAUCAUUUUUCGACCUGAUUAAAAGUUUGAUUGUAGAUUGGCUAUUUCAGGGUUCCAUGCCCAUGGAUUACCAUAUUAUAGCUUUUUUGAUUCGUCGGGUAUGUCGGCUAAGAGAAUCGCUUCUCGCCUUGCUUGCAAGAGUAUAAGCAGUAGAUUUUGACCCUAUAUGAGAUAAAACUCUUUCAAUUCAUGAGAGAAAGCGAUUUAGUAGUGAUUUCCCUGUUCUAGUGCAAGACGUAAGGAGAAGCACGAGCGGAGCGGUCUGGCUAAACGUGCAAUGCCCCGUAGGGAGAUCUAGCUUAUUGGUCUAGUGCUUCCGGGUGCUUGCCAGUUCUGAAUGACUUCACUUAGUUUGCCAUGUUCUUACAAGAAAGAAUCUCUUCUCCGAAUCGAAUCUACGCAUAUCGAAUUCAAUAAAGACUUGAAUAGAUGCCUUCCUUCAAAUAUAGUUCAUCCUGUUGAUGGUAGCCUAUUCCUAUGAAGGAAGGUAAGCAUGAAGCAACGGCUAGAUCCUCACAGUAGGCAGCUUAGCUGUGAUUAUGAAGUUAGGUGAGAAGCGUUAUGCAAUAGAGAAGUCAGCUAGUGCACUUAGACAGGUAGUUGAUUUCAUUAGGGAAUUGAAUUGUAGGAAGGUUAGCAGGUCAGGUAGUCCUUAGGCCGUUGAGCGAAACUCUUGGCAUCCUCCUCUUAUGAGGGGUUAAGAGUGAAAGAAUCAUUAUAAAACUACGAGGUCGCCCCCACUUCUUAGAGCUCUCUUGCUACCGGUUCCUUAGACUAUAGGCAGAAAGGCCGAGGCAGAGCCAACAAUUCUCUAAAAGCAAGGAUGAUUACCUACGUUCCAAUGAAGCACAUUCCAACAAUUACCUAGCCCGGUAGGUGGAGGAAAAAGGCGGAGAACAUUCUUUAAUCAAAGACGCCAAUACCCAUAUCAGGAUUAGACCCAUUUCGAUCGAGCGGCAACCGCUGCUGCGGUAUGGUCCAGAGUCGAAACUGGCUAACAUAGGGCAAGGGUCCUGAUGGGCAAGUAUAAAUAGAAGAAGCAGCUCCUCUCACUGCCUCGUAUAGGGUUCUGGGCCUCGUAUUGACUAUUACUAAAGGAAAGCAACCCCCGGAUAUUGACCUAUCGGCAACUUCGAACUCUCACUCUCCUUCAGCCGAUUCAGAUACCGAAUUGUAUCUCUUGGAGAGAGCCGCAGAAGCUCUCCCUUUGACUCAGGGGGCCUUCCAACACUUCGACUGAUGCGGACGCGGUUCUCUCGUUGUGAAAGAAGUAAUGAAAGGUAAGCCCCGGGUCAACCCGCGCUCGUUGU
rnacentral:lncRNA from 1 species